GACGAACGCUGGCGGCGUGCCUAAUACAUGCAAGUCGAACGCACUCUCGUUAGAUUGAAGAAGCUUGCUUCUGAUUGAUAACAUUUGAGUGAGUGGCGGACGGGUGAGUAACACGUGGGUAACCUGCCCUAAAGUGGGGGAUAACAUUUGGAAACAGAUGCUAAUACCGCAUAAAACCUAGCACCGCAUGGUGCAAGGUUGAAAGAUGGUUUCGGCUAUCACUUCAGGAUGGACCCGCGGUGCAUUAGUUAGUUGGUGAGGUAAAGGCUCACCAAGACCGUGAUGCAUAGCCGACCUGAGAGGGUAAUCGGCCACACUGGGACUGAGACACGGCCCAGACUCCUACGGGAGGCAGCAGUAGGGAAUCUUCCACAAUGGACGAAAGUCUGAUGGAGCAACGCCGCGUGAGUGAAGAAGGUUUUCGGAUCGUAAAACUCUGUUGUUGGAGAAGAACGUAUUUGAUAGUAACUGAUCAGGUAGUGACGGU
rnacentral:rRNA from 1 species